GUCCACGCCCUAAACGAUGAUGACUAGUUGUUGGAGGAGUUAAAUCCUUUAGUAACGCAGCUAACGCGAGAAGUCAUCCACCUGGGGAGUACGGUCGCAAGAUUAAAACUCAAAGGAAUUGACGGGGGCCCGCACAAGCGGUGGAUGAUGUGGUUUAAUUCGACGCAACGCGAAAACCUUAACCUACCCUUGACAUGUACGGAACCUCGCAGAAAUGCGAGGGUGCCCGAAAGGGAGCCGUAACACAGGUGCUGCAUGGCUGUCGU
rnacentral:rRNA from 1 species